rnacentral:rRNA from 1 species
AUUGAACGCUGGCGGCAUGCCUUACACAUGCAAGUCGAACGGCAGCAUGGAAGAGCUUGCUCUUCUGAUGGCGAGUGGCGAACGGGUGAGUAAAGCAUCGGAACGUACCGUGUAGUGGGGGAAACGUAGCGAAAGUUACGCUAAUACCGCAUACGCACUGAGGUGGAAAGCAGGGGAUCGCAAGACCUUGCGCUCUACGAGCGGCCGAUGUCAGAUUAGCUAGUUGGUAGGGUAAAGGCCUACCAAGGGGACGAUCUGUAGCGGGGCGGAGAGGAUGAUCGGCCACACUGGGACUGAGACACGGCCCAGACUCCUACGGGAGGCAGCAGUGGGGAAUUUUGGACAAUGGGGGAAACCCUGAUCCAGCCAUGCCGCGUGAGUGAAGAAGGCCUUCGGGUUGUAAAGCUCUUUCGGCUGGGAAGAAAUCGCACAGGCUAAUACUCUGUGUGGAUGACGGUACCAGCACAAGAAGCACCGGCUAACUACGUGCCAGCAGCCGCGGUAA